UACGAAGGGGGCUAGCGUUGUUCGGAAUCACUGGGCGUAAAGCGCGUGUAGGCGGCUUGUUAAGUUGGUUGUGAAAACCCAUGGCUCAACCAUGGAAGGGCGUCCAAAACUGGCAAGCUAGUGUCCCGACGAGGAUGGCGGAAUUCCCAGUGUAGAGGUGAAAUUCGUAGAUAUUGGGAGGAACACCGGUGGCGAAGGCGGCCAUCUGGGAGGGCACUGACGCUGAGACGCGAAAGCGUGGGGAGCAAACAGG
rnacentral:rRNA from 1 species